UACAAUGUCUAUCUUAGAGAAAGAAAAAUUAUAUUAAAGCCCCACAAAUAUAUUUACUUUCCCGCUUCUUCACUCUCCUUCAUGUCCGACUCCUGGACCUCGACCCCCUUCGACCUCGCCUCCAAUGUCGCCUGCCGCUUUCUCUCGCAGUCUUUCUCUCAUCUCUCUCACGAUCUCUUCUCUCUCUUCUUUCUGCUUAUAGGUGGCAAUGGCGACAUAGUUUUGGGCUCCUCGUCUGCAGGGAUGGAGUGACGGGACUGUUGGGUUAAUGAGUGGAGAGGGUUUUGAUAAAUUUGAAGUCUCCAAUUUCAAAUUGAAGCUUUUUUUCCAAAUUUUGAGUAGUUAAAGGAAUCAAUCUCUACCUCUUUAUUAGUAUUGGCAAAAUGGGCAAGUUCACAGCUCCACGGCCGAGGGAAAAAACAAAGACCCAAAAGAGUUUUAGGGAUUAAUGCAAGGAAGGUCUUAUUUGCAACAACAGGAGGUGGUUGGUGAGGUCCUCUUGUCUAUGCUACUCUGCUCCCAGGUGCUCCCGCUAUGGUGGAUAUAUAUAAAUCUUUAUAGAUAUGUUUGCUUUUUUUAUUUAAUUUAUACUCAAACUCUUAACCAUAUAUUAUUAUUAACUGAUCCUUUUCCACUGCUAGUUGGAUCUUCUUAUAAGUUAUAUCCUUAUUAUCAAGAAAUAAUUAUGAUGAUUUCUAUUCGUCCCUGUCGCUGAAGCUUAAAAUAUAUGUUUACUUCUUUUGUUAAAUUUGUUCUUUCUUAAGUUCGUUAGAUAUUUUGCUAAUUAAUUCUAAUCAUAU